CGUAGGUGAACCUGCGGAAGGAUCAUGUUGUCCAAGGCGGCCUCCCUCGGCAUGCGCCCUCAGGCUGCGAUCGCUGGGUUGGCUAUCCAAACCUUUGAUAGUGCUCCACGCACGUUAAACGGAUCGAGAGCGUCGCUCCGACCGCGCGGCCUCCCGGCCGCGUAUUCAAAACCUUGACACAACUACCGUCUAUUGAAACUUUUACAACCAGUAGCACUGGAUCCCUUGGCACGUCAUUCGAUGAAGAACGUAGCAAUCUGCGAUAAGUGGUGUGAUAUGCAAGUCCACAGCUUAUACGUGAACCAUCGAAUCUUUGAACGCACUGCACUAUCCGGACGACACCCCCGUGAUAGUAUGCCCCGUUGAGCGUCAUUUAUCCGUUCAGACACUCGCUUGUUGAUUCGAGCUUGUGGAUGAGUUCGAGGCUCACAUCCGCUUUCGGAUGCGUUCCUUGAGAUCGAUUAGCGUGCUCGGUUCGCCUUGCGCCCGUCUUGUGAUGAUUUUGCAAGCCGAGGCCAGAGCAUUUGACCCGCGCUGACAGUCGCCGUCAGGCAAACCCGGACCUUGUCGUCCGACUCUCGUACAUGACCUCAGUGGGGUAGGACAACCCGCUAGACUUAAGCAUAUUAAUCAGCGGAGGAAAAGAAACUAACAAG
rnacentral:rRNA from 1 species